GGGCCAGUGGCGCAAUGGAUAACGUGUCUGACUACGGAUCAGAAGAUAUCUAGGUUCGACUCCUGGCUGGCUCG
rnacentral:tRNA from 1 species